GACGAACGCUGGCGGCGUGCUUAACACAUGCAAGUCGAACGGAAAGGCCCUGCUUUUGUGGGGUGCUCGAGUGGCGAACGGGUGAGUAACACGUGAGUAACCUGCCCUUGACUUUGGGAUAACUUCAGGAAACUGGGGCUAAUACCGGAUAGGAGCUCCUGCUGCAUGGUGGGGGUUGGAAAGUUUCGGCGGUUGGGGAUGGACUCGCGGCUUAUCAGCUUGUUGGUGGGGUAGUGGCUUACCAAGGCUUUGACGGGUAGCCGGCCUGGGAGGGUGACCGGCCACAUUGGGACUGAGAUACGGACCAGACUCCUACGGGAGGCAGCGGUGGGGAAUAUUGCACAAUGGGCGGAAGCCUGAUGCAGCAACGCCGCGUGCGGGAUGACGGCCUUCGGGUUGUAAACCGCUUUCGCCUGUGACGAAGCGUGAGUGACGGUAAUGGGUAAAGAAGCACCGGCUAACUACGUG
rnacentral:rRNA from 1 species